GGCCAAAAUUCGAAGUAGAGUGGAUUACUACGAUCAGUUGAACCUACUAAACUACUCUACUUCAAGUUCCUGCCU
rfam:Haemonchus placei strain MHpl1 genome assembly, scaffold: HPLM_scaffold0000023